GAAAUGCGAUAAGUAAUGUGAAUUGCAGAAUUCAGUGAAUCAUCGAAUCUUUGAACGCACCUUGCGCUCCUUGGUAUUCCGAGGAGCAUGCCUGUUUGAGUGUCAUUAAAUUCUCAACCUCACCCGCUUUUUAUUUGCGUGCGUGAAGGCUUGGAUGUGGAGGUUUUUGCAGGUCCAGCUCUGCUGGUCUGCUCCUCUGAAAUGCAUUAGUGGGUUGUGGCCCCUCAUCUAUUGGUGUGAUAAUUAUCUACGCCGUGGAUCAGUGUUGGCAACAAUGAAGACCUGCUUCUAACCGUCCGACUCGGACAAUCUUGACAUUUUUGACCUCAAAUCAGGUAAGACUACCCGCUGAACUUAA
rnacentral:misc_RNA from 1 species